CCUAAACAGCCAUGAGCUUCCGCCGUAGAUGUCUAAUUCCUAUCAUGUUUUGCAGAAAACACAAAAUAACUCCUCCAGUGAGGCGUGCAACCUUCGGCAUUUCCUUGUUGAGAUCGUAGAUUACAUGCGUCGUUUGCGGCAGCUUUUCUUCUAUGACUGUCUCGGGUCACAACAAGCGCCAUACUUGAAAUGAUCUCCACCUGCUGUACUGGAGUGCAACCUGCCUGCGCAGAUUCUGCCUGUCUUCAAAGAAAAUUAAGGACAGACAGAGAUACUAAAGACAGACGAACACAUUCAAAAUACACUUUGAUUCCUAAAGUGUGGCUGUUUACAGCCAAAGGCAACGAGAAACCACAUGUGUCUUUGGACAAUCCGCCCCACACUUUUUCCUCACAUGAUCAUUUUCUUAUUUAUAUUUAAAUUACACUUUAAAUGUGUUUUCCUCCUCACCUCAUAAUGGCUGUCGACGCUAAAUUUUAAACUAAUGAUCUAUUUAGAAUAUAUAAAUAGCUUGUCUGACAUCAAUAAAUAAAUGAUUAAUUCUUAAUUAGUGAUUCAGAGUGCACAUUGAGUAUAUUUUCUAGGAUGUACUACAUUUAAUUUGAGUGAAAAGCAUCAAUUGUCACACAAUGCAAUAUCCUGUUUUAUUUAAACAUGUAAACGUAACAUAAAUACUUAUUUAAAUAUAUUUUACUGAAAGAACUUUCUAGAGCCAUAGCGCCCUUCUUCCUAUGAGGUGAUAGGGCAAACCACUGCACCACUGCCAUGUCAACCUAUUUUAUUAUUACGUGACAAGGUACUCUUUGACCUCUGUAUGACCUCUUUUCCUCAUGUGCACCAUAUACAGUCCCUAUCAAAAGUUUAAGACCACUUAAAAAAUGGCAAAA